rnacentral:rRNA from 1 species
AACACAAACCCCGGCGCUGAAUGCGCCAAGGAACUAAAUUUCGUUCAGUGCGCCCCCGUCGGCCCGGAGACGGUGCUCCUGCGGGUGGUGUUUUGAAGCAUGACACAUAAUGACUCUCGGCAACGGAUAUCUAGGCUCUCGCAUCGAUGAAGAACGUAGCGAAAUGCGAUACUUGGUGUGAAUUGCAGAAUCCCGUGAACCAUCGAGUCUUUGAACGCAAGUUGCGCCCGAAGCCAUUAGGUUGAGGGCACGUCUGCCUGGGCGUCACAUAUCGUUGCCCGAUGCCAAUUUCCUCUUGAUAGGGGGUAUGUUGUGCAGGGUGAAUGAUGGCUUCCCGUGAGCACUGUUGCCUCAUGGUUGGUUGAAAAUUGAGUCCUUGGUAGGGUGUGCCAUGAUAGAUGGUGGUUGAGUGAUGCACGAGACCAUAUCAUGUGAGACUCUACCAAACUUGGCCUCUGUGACCCACGUGCGUCUUUGAACGCUCAUGACGAGACCUCAGGUCAGGCGGGGCUACCCGCUGAGUUUAAGCAUAUCAAUAAGCGGAGGAAAAGAAACUAACAAGGAUUCC